rnacentral:rRNA from 1 species
AGAUUGAACGCUGGCGGCAGGCCUAACACAUGCAAGUCGAGCGGUAGAGAGGUGCUUGCACCUCUUGAGAGCGGCGGACGGGUGAGUAAUGCCUAGGAAUCUGCCUAGUGGUGGGGGAUAACGUUCGGAAACGGACGCUAAUACCGCAUACGUCCUACGGGAGAAAGCGGGGGACCUUCGGGCCUCGCGCCAUUAGAUGAGCCUAGGUCGGAUUAGCUAGUUGGUGAGGUAAUGGCUCACCAAGGCGACGAUCCGUAACUGGUCUGAGAGGAUGAUCAGUCACACUGGAACUGAGACACGGUCCAGACUCCUACGGGAGCAGCAGUGGGAAUAUGGACAAGUGGGACGAAAGCCUGACGUCCAAGCCAUCGCCGCGUUGUGGUAGAAGUAAGGUCUUCGGAUUAGUAAAGCUACGUUUAAGUUGGAGUAAGGUUGUAACGUUAUACGUGACUAAUUGUACUUACCGACUAGAA